GACGAACGCUGGCGGCGUGCCUAAUACAUGCAAGUAGAACGAGUUGCGAACGGGUGAGUAACGCGUAGGUAACCUGCCUUGCACUUCGGGAUAAGCCUGGGAAACUGGGUCUAAUACCGGAUAGUGCAAGAUGAGCCCGCGGCCUAUCAGCUUGUUGGUGGGGUAAUGGCUACCAAGGCGCGACGGGUAGCCGGCCUGAUUGGGUGUACGGCCACAGUGGAACGGAAACAAGGCCCAGGUUCCUACGGGAGGCAGCAGGGGGGAAUAUUGCACAAUGGGCGCAAGCCUGAUGCAGCGACGCCGCGUGGGGGAUGAAGGUCUUCGGGUUGUAAACUCCUUUCGCUAGGGAAGCGGUACCUGGAUAAGAAGCACCGGCUAACUACGUGCCAGCAGCCGCGGUAAUUC
rnacentral:rRNA from 1 species